AGUGGCGGACGGGUGAGUAACGCGUAAGAAUCUAACUUCAGGGCGGGGACAACAGUUGGAAAUGACUGCUAAUACCCGAUAUGCCGCGAGGUGAAACCUAAUUGGCCUGAAGAAGAGCUUGCGUCUGAUUAGCUAGUUGGUGGGGUAAGAGCCUACCAAGGCGACGAUCAGUAGCUGGUCUGAGAGGAUGAGCAGCCACACUGGGACUGAGACACGGCCCAGACUCCUACGGGAGGCAGCAGUGGGGAAUUUUCCGCAAUGGGCGAAAGCCUGACGGAGCAUCGCCGCGUGAGGGAGGAAGGUCUUUGGAUUGUAAACCUCUUUUCUCAAGGAAGAAGUUCUGACGGUACUUGAGGAAUCAGCCUCGGCUAACUCCGUGCCAGCAGCCGCGGUAAUACGGGGGAGGCAAGCGUUAUCCGGAAUUAUUGGGCGUAAAGCGUCCGCAGGUGGUCAGCCAAGUCUGCCGUCAAAUCAGGUUGCUUAACGACCUAAAGGCGGUGGAAACUGGCAGACUAGAGAGCAGUAGGGGUAGCAGGAAUUCCCAGUGUAGCGGUGAAAUGCGUAGAGAUUGGGAAGAACAUCGGUGGCGAAAGCGUGCUACUGGGCUGUAUCUGACACCCAGGGACGAAAGCUAGGGGAGCGAAAGGGAUUAGAUACCCCUGUAGUCCUAGCCGUAAACGAUGGAUACUAGGCGUGGCUU
rnacentral:rRNA from 1 species